CCGCCCCCCCUCAUGAAUAAUCCCCGCCCUCGUUACCGGCGGUGACGCCGCGCGCGGUGACGCCCGAAGAGCGCAGGAGAGAACGGGAGCGGCCGGCGCCAUGUGCGACUUCUCGGAGGAGCAGACCGCGGAGUUCAAGGAGGCCUUCCAGCUCUUCGACCGCACGGGCGAUGGGAAGAUCCUGUACAGCCAGUGCGGGGACGUGAUGCGGGCGCUGGGCCAGAACCCCACCAACGCCGAGGUCAUGAAGGUGCUGGGCAACCCCAAGAGCGAUGGUGAGU